rnacentral:rRNA from 1 species
ACUCCUACGGGAGGCAGCAGUGGGGAAUAUUGCACAAUGGGCGCAAGCCUGAUGCAGCCAUGCCGCGUGUGUGAAGAAGGCCCUUCGGGUUGUAAAGUCACUUUCAGUUGUGNGGAAGGUGGUGUCGUUAAUAGCGGCAUCAUUUGACGUUAGCAACAGAGAAGCACCGGCUACUCCGUGCCAGCAGCGCGGUAAUACGGAGGGUGCGAGCGUUAAUCGGAAUUACUGGGCGUAAAGCGCAUGCAGGUGGUUUGUUAAGUCAGAUGUGAAAG